AAUCAACGCUGGCGGCGUGCCUCAGACAUGCAAGUCGAACGAUUAAAGCUCUCUUCGGAGAGUGUAUAGAGUGGCGCACGGGUGAGUAACACGUAAGUAAUCUACCUUUGAGUGGGGAAUAACAGUCGGAAACGACUGCUAAUACCGCAUAAUGCAGCGGCAUCGCAAGAUGACAGUUGUUAAAGGAGCAAUCCGCUUAAAGAGGAGCUUGCGGCAGAUUAGCUAGUUGGUAAGGUAAUGGCUUACCAAGGCUACGAUCUGUAUCCGGUCUAAGAGGACGGUCGGACACACUGACACUGAAUAACGGGUCAGACUCCUACGGGAGGCAGCAGUCGGGAAUUUUGGGCAAUGGGCGAAAGCCUGACCCAGCAA
rnacentral:rRNA from 1 species